rnacentral:ribozyme from 1 species
UGCGCAAUCUUUUGCCAAAAAUAUGGGUCUGUACAAUGAGCGAGUUGGGUGCUUUUCUGUUGUGUGCUCCAAC